rnacentral:rRNA from 1 species
AUACGGAGGAUACGAGCGUUAUCCGGAUUUAUUGGGUUUAAAGGGUGCGCAGGCGGCCAUUUAAGUCAGCGGUUAAAUCGUGGGGCUCAACCCCAUUCUGCCGUUGAUACUGGGUGGCUUGAUUGCGGUCGAGGUUGGCGGAAUUCGUUGUGUAGAGGGGAAAUGCAUAGAUAUGAAGAAGAACACCGAUUGCGUAGGCAGCUGACCAGACCGCAAAUGACGCUCAUGCACGAAAGUGCGUGGAUCGAACAGGAUUAGAUACCCUGGUAGUCCGCACAGUAAACGAUGAAUACUUGUUUUCGGCGAUAUAAUGUCGGAGGCAAAGCGAAAGCGAUAAGUAUUCCACCUGGGGAGUACGCCGGCAACGGUGAAACUCAAAUGAAUUGACGGGG